UACGUAGGGUGCGAGCGUUAAUCGGAAUUACUGGGCGUAAAGCGUGCGCAGGCGGUUUUGUAAGCAAGAUGUGAAAUCCCCGGGCUUAACCUGGGAAUGGCAUUUGGGACUGCAAGGCUUGAGUUGGCAGAGGAGACUGGAAUUCCUGGUGUAGCAGUGAAAUGCGUAGAUAUCAGGAGGAACACCGAUGGCGAAGGCAGGUCUCGUGGGCCACUACUGACGCUGAGAAGCGAAAGCAUGGGAGCGAACAGG
rnacentral:rRNA from 1 species